UACAGAGGUCUCAAGCGUUGUUCGGAUUCAUUGGGCGUAAAGGGUGCGUAGGUGGCGCGUUAAGUCAGGUGUGAAAUUUCGGAGCUUAACUCCGAAACUGCAUUUGAUACUGGCGUGCUUGAGGACUGGAGAGGAGACUGGAAUUCAUGGUGUAGCGGUGAAAUGCGCAGAUAUCAGGAGGAAGACCAGUGGCGAAGGCGGGUCUCUGGACAGUUCCUGACGCUGAGGCACGAAGGUCAGGGGGGAGCAAACGGG
rnacentral:rRNA from 1 species